AGAGUGUGUGUGUGUGUGUGUGUGUGUGUCAGUGGGAGAAAGAAAAGGAAAAGAGAGUUUGUACAGAGCAGUUACCCUCCCUCAGUUCCUUAGGCUUUGGGUCCUCAGCUUCUUCUUCUUCAUCAUCAUCAUCAUCAAACCCAGCAAUCACACAUAGCUACAUCGCAAGAUGACCCACUGAGGCUUCACCCUCUCAGCUUCUAUAUGGAUUCCGAUAAGGAAAUGACAUCUGCAGAAGUUGAUGGGAAUGAUGCAGUUACAGGCCAUAUCAUUUCCACUACCAUUGGAGGCAAGAAUGGGGAGCCCAAACAAACCAUCAGUUACAUGGCUGAGCGAGUUGUAGGCACUGGAUCAUUCGGAAUUGUUUUUCAGGCGAAAUGCUUGGAAACUGGAGAGACAGUGGCUAUAAAGAAAGUGUUACAGGACAGGCGGUAUAAAAAUCGUGAGCUGCAAUUGAUGCGGUUGAUGGAUCACCCAAAUGUGGUUUCCCUGAAGCAUUGUUUUUUCUCCACAACAAGUAAAGAUGAGCUUUUCCUGAAUUUGGUCAUGGAAUAUGUUCCUGAAACAAUGUACAGGGUUUUGAAGCACUAUAGUAGUAUAAACCAACGGAUGCCACUCAUCUAUGUGAAACUCUAUACAUACCAAAUGUUUAGGGGUUUGGCAUAUAUCCAUACUGUUCCUGGAGUUUGCCACAGAGAUGUAAAGCCUCAAAAUCUUUUGGUUGAUCCCCUCACUCACCAGGUUAAGCUUUGUGACUUUGGAAGUGCUAAAGUCUUGGUCCAGGGUGAAGCAAACAUAUCAUAUAUAUGUUCUCGUUAUUAUCGGGCUCCAGAACUCAUAUUUGGUGCAACAGAAUAUAACACUUCGAUUGAUAUUUGGUCAGCUGGUUGUGUAUUGGCUGAGCUUCUUCUGGGCCAGCCAUUGUUUC
rnacentral:misc_RNA from 1 species